AAAAGAAGGAACACUUUAUGGUGGGAGACUUUUAAGCCCGGGGGAAUGGGGGGCGGAGGAACAGGACCACAGCCAAUGGGAUACAAGGAACAGGACCACAGCCAAUGGGAUACAAGGAACAGGACCACAGCCAAUGGGAUACAAAGAACAGCUUCAAAAUAUAUCACCACGAGGGAGGAGUCAGCAAAGUCUGAAUGUGUGAGGACAUUGGUCUAGAUGGGAGUCACUGCAGGUCCAAGAGAAGAAUAGCUGAUGAAAGACAGAGAGGAAGAGAAGAAAUGGGCUUAAUUGGAGGACACAAGAUUCAUACAAGAUUCAGAAGAUUCAAGGAAAGUAUUUUUCAUGCUAAUAACAAUGAAACAUGUGGGAAGCAUGAAGUCUGCAUCAUAUGAAAACUUUAGAGGAGUUUACACAAACAUCUGUGUGGAAAUGACAGACAGAGACGAGCUGAUGGCAGUGCAGAGAAGAAAGGAUAUGUCUCCCUUAGGCACCAUGGUCUUAUAAUGCCAUGACCUUAUAACUGAGAAUUAGUAUUCAGAAGCACCAAGAAAAAUUGUCCACAAAAUAAUCAGGAAGCAGGCUUAAAUUAGACGUAUUUUCUUAAUUACAUACCAAGUCAGAUUCAUACAUUUUGACAUGUCAGAUGAGGUCUGUGGGCUCUGGGAACACAUGUCUAAAACAUGAACAGGAACAGUGCAAAGUGCAUUGACUCUCAUAUGAGCAGGAGAAAGCUAGGACACUAUUAAGAAUAUGCCUUUCUGUGUAAUUUAUCCAAGCUCUAUCAGGUAUAAGAUAACGUAGUUUAUCUUCCACAAAGUCUUUGGUGCCCAGACUUUUCAGAAAGCUUUAGCAAGAGCAUAAAGCCUUUGGAUAGGGCAUGCAAGAUUCAGUGUCAACAACACCCACAGCUUCCCACUGCAUAAAUCUCAGUUCUGCUGCAUAGAUAGGAGAUGCUGCCCUCCCUUUAUAUGGUGUUGGAUAGUGAGUGUUCAGAAGGAAUAUCUGACCUUCAAAUACCAUUGUUUAAGAAGACGUUUUGCAUCAGCAAGUGUCUGCAAAAUUUAAGGUUGAAUGCUACUGUUUAGUGCACAUGGCCACUGGACCACCCAUGGAUGAUUUCCGGUGGUAUGAUAUCACUUUAUCACAUCUGAUAAAGAAAAAUACCAGUCAGUGUGUGAAACCUCAAGAAAGGAAAACACUGCACGGAUGAGAGGAGACUCUACAGGAGAAGCAGAAUAAAACAAGGAGAUUGGUCUUUUCCAACAGUUUGAAAAUUUUCAGAUUAAAAUAAUUACAGUUUUUUUUCCACAUAAACAGCUGUAGCUGUUACCAGGACUCAGCACUUCAUCAAGUGGGAUUAGGAUAGAGAGGUGGUUUCUGCUGCACCCCACCUAACACACCACAUCUUCAAGGACUGGUAGCCUCCAUUGAGAGAGAAACAGCCAGGAAAGGAUGGAGAAUUUCUUGCUAGGGCAGACUGAAAGGGGCAGACCCUGUGGAUGCCAUGAAGAAAGACAGCUAUACAAAAGAUGACACAUAAUAUGAAGAAAUUUUAAUUUAAAAUAUCUGCCUUCCAAAGAACAAAAUGGACAGAUGCUGCUACCGAUCAGCUCAAACAUUCCUACGGAAAUAAGUAAAAAAAGAGAAAUCAAUGGCUCCCCACAGGCAGGAUGGAUGAAUAGGAUGAAGAAAUAUACACAGGAGAGGCUAUAAACAUGCAGUGAUGGAGAAAAUAGGUAGGUGUUUGGAAUACUGCAAUUUUUGAAGGGACAGCUGCUCAAAGCUGUUCUCAGCAUGACAUGGCUCUGUGAGAAUUCAUUUCACCCUGAGGAGGUCUGGAUUGUAGGACCUGCACCUCUGCAGUACCUGUCUGGUCUCCUGCCAUGAUCCAAGAAAAAAAGAUUCAUAAAGAGGGGAUCCACAUAUACUUGCUGAGUAAGAAGUCACCUGAACUGAAAUGCAGAGAAAAAUGUGGAGUCAAAACCUCUAGUGAACCAAGGGGCUUGAAGUUAUCUAUCUACAUAGCCUAUGUAACUUGAAGGCAGGGAGGGAAGAGAUGCAGAGAAUGCAAGGUGCAUUUAUAAUAAUUUAUGCUUACGCUAUCCAUCCACGGUUUGGGAGGCUUGGGAGUUGAGACUCUGCCUUAUCUGAAACAGAGAUAUUUCUGUGGGAGUGCGACACUUCCAGGGGUAUGAGUCAUGAGCUUUUCAAAGAACAGUUCUGGCUCUAAUUAUGUGGAUCUUGGAGGGGUAUUAUAAUCUCAGAUUAUUGGAUCACACCUGAUGUAAAAAAGCAAGAUGUCAGAUCUGUCUGAAAAAUUACAGACAAAUACUUUGAACUUUCUGUGUGUGUGCUGGAAGAAAUGAAAUUUUGGGAACAAAAGUUUGGGUUAUACUUAAGCGAUGCAUGGUAUGGGGGAAUAAGUGAAAGUCAAAGACAGGAAGAGAAAGGAAGCCCAUUUGCUUGCUUUUGUUUGUUUUGUAGAAAUACUUUUGUUCAUAAUCUUCUUUAUUGUUUUGUCUAUGAUCAUUUGAGAAAACAUUCUAAGAAAAUUACAAAUACUGACUGAUAAACAAAAAAUAAAUUCUUUGGAGUCCAUUCAAUGAUUUUAUGCUGUCUCCUGAAUUCAAAACUUUUUCACGAAAGGCUGGCUGCUAUUCUUCAGAAAGAAAAUCUGGCAACUGAUGUAACUGAGACUGUGCUCUUCAAAAGUUUGUGUUAUUGGGUAAGGGUACAGCAGUUGGUGGUGUAAGAUGUAUGAAAAGAUAUACAAAUGAAAACCUGGAGCAUUAUUUACAACAGAUAUGGCAACAGUAGCUUUUUAAAAUCAGUAUAAAGAAUAGAUAUAAGCAGAAGUAGUAGUGAAGUAGUGAAAGCUUGGAUCAAUCAUAAUUCCAUCUCCUUACCUGCCCAGAGUUUCUGAUCAUUAUCAACCAACCAAAUACCACAUAUUCCUUUCUGUCUAACUAAAGGUGACCCCUUAAACAGGUUUCUUGCUGCUAUGUUUGCAUACACUUUCACAAGAUAAAGUACUGCAGUAAAAAAGGCGUAUUGUCCUAAAUGCAAUAUAUAGAUUGAAAUGCCUCUGUUUGUGUAUUGGUGGUGAAAAUAAAUCAGAGUAAUAUCUAGACAAAGCUACAGUUUGAUAUAUGAUGAAUCCUCAGGGCUUCAUGUUUAUAGCAUGAUUGAGUAUAAAAUGCCAGCCAAGAAAAAUGUACUUUGCAGGUGGGCCUAAAUAUUUACACUGUUGCUGUUAACUAACAUGCCGAAUUCCAUUAUAGGGUAGCUUCGUGACCGUAAAUACCAACAAAGUAGUGCCAGUGUAAGUCAUCCAUUAAACACCAGGUUUUUAAAGCAGUACAGACAGUUUAAAAGGGCUUUACUUACCCCAGAC